CUUAAAUAUUAUAAACACCAAAAGAAGGCACAGCAAAGGCUAGAUAAAUAUCUUUCAAUAAUAAUCGACAGUAUGGACCAGGCCAAAAACUGGAAUCCCUCACUGGAUCCAGUCUUCAAAGCUCGACGGAGACUGUGAGCACUUCAUGAAAACACAUGUGACAGGCAUUUUAUCACAUGGGUUAGRCAUAGCGAUGUGUUUCAUCGACUAUCUUCGUUGGCCGCAAGAUGCGAAUGCUACUGUCAAUUUUUUGACCUCUUGUUUUCGACAAAUUAUGAAAACA